CGGGGGCGCGCCCGGCCGGCGGGGCCGCGCACGCAGCCGCCGCCACCACUUCCCCCUCUCCAUCCCUCCUUGCGGGCCCUCCUCCCCUUCCCUCCCCUCCGCCCCCUUCCCCGUAGGCAGCCCGCCCGCCAGUCCGCCCGCACCGCCUCCUUCCCAGCCCCUAGCGCUCCGGCUGGGUCUCUCCCCCGCCCCCCAGGCUCCCCCGGUCGCUCUCCUCCGGCGGUCGCCCGCGCUCGGUGGAUGUGGCUGGCAGCUGCCGCCCCCUCCCUCGCUCGCCGCCUGCUCUUCCUCGGCCCUUCGCCUCUUCCCCUCCUCCUUCUCGUCUUCAGCCGCUCCUCUCGCCGCCGCCGCCGCCUCCACAGCCUGGGCCUCGCCGCGAUGCCGGAGAAGAGGCCCUUCGAGCGGCUGCCUGCCGAUGUCUCCCCCAUCAACUGCAGCCUUUGCCUCAAGCCCGACUUGCUGGACUUCACCUUCGAGGGCAAGCUGGAGGCCGCCGCCCAGGUGAGGCAGGCGACUAAUCAGAUUGUGAUGAAUUGUGCUGAUAUUGAUAUUAUUACAGCUUCAUAUGCACCAGAAGGAGAUGAAGAAAUACAUGCUACAGGAUUUAACUAUCAGAAUGAAGAUGAAAAAGUCACCUUGUCUUUCCCUAGUACUCUGCAAACAGGUAUGGGAACCUUAAAGAUAGAUUUUGUUGGAGAGCUGAAUGACAAAAUGAAAGGUUUCUAUAGAAGUAAGUAUACUACCCCUUCUGGAGAAGUGCGCUAUGCUGCUGUAACACAGUUUGAGGCUACUGAUGCCCGAAGGGCUUUUCCUUGCUGGGAUGAGCCUGCUAUCAAAGCAACUUUUGAUAUCUCAUUGAUUGUUCCUAAAGACAGAGUAGCUUUAUCAAACAUGAAUGUAAUUGACCGGAAACCAUACCCUGAUGAUGAAAAUUUAGUGGAAGUGAAGUUUGCCCGCACACCUGUUACGUCUACAUAUCUGGUGGCAUUUGUUGUGGGUGAAUAUGACUUUGUAGAAACAAGGUCAAAAGAUGGUGUGUGUGUCCGUGUUUACACUCCUGUUGGCAAAGCAGAGCAAGGAAAAUUUGCGUUAGAGGUUGCUGCUAAAACCUUGCCUUUUUAUAAGGACUACUUCAAUGUUCCUUAUCCUCUACCUAAAAUUGAUCUCAUUGCUAUUGCAGACUUUGCAGCUGGGAGACUGCAUUGCUUAUUGAUGCAAAAAAUUCCUGUUCUUCAUCCCGCCAGUGGGUUGCUCUGGUUGUGGGACAUGAACUCGCCCAUCAAUAGUUUGGAAAUCUUGUUACUAUGGAAUGGUGGACUCAUCUUUGGUUAAAUGAAGGUUUUGCAUCCUGGAUUGAAUAUCUGUGUGUAGACCACUGCUUCCCAGAGUAUGAUAUUUGGACUCAGUUUGUUUCUGCUGAUUACACCCGUGCCCAGGAGCUUGACGCCUUAGAUAACAGCCAUCCUAUUGAAGUCAGUGUGGGCCAUCCAUCUGAGGUUGAUGAGAUAUUUGAUGCUAUAUCAUAUAGCAAAGGUGCAUCUGUCAUCCGAAUGCUGCAUGACUACAUUGGGGAUAAGGACUUUAAGAAAGGAAUGAACAUGUAUUUAACCAAGUUCCAACAAAAGAAUGCUGCCACAGGAUGGACGUGGUAGAGGUCGCGGGUAGUUGGUGGGCACAAGAGCGAGAGGACAUCAUUAUGAAAUACGAAAAGGACACCGAGCUGGGCUGCCAGAGGACAAGGGGCCUAAGCCUUUUGGAAGAUACAACAACAAUGUCGAUCAUUUGGGGAUUGUACGUUCAGUCGUGCUCAGUACCUUCUACCUUCACGCUGUGUGCAACCCAUCUCCAGAAGCCUCUUCAUCCUGCAAAAUUGAAACUGGACCCAUUAAACAACACCUCCCCAUUCCACCUCCCCAUUCCUCCUCCCCCGGCCCCUGGCAACUGCCAUUCUGCUUCUUUCUCCACAUAUGGAAUAUAUUCUAUAUACCUAGUUUUACAUUAAUAUCAUAGAUAGCUUUGUUUUCAGUAUGUAUAUCUACUUUAUUCUUUUCAGUAAUUUCCUGUUUAUUAUGUGGCUAUACCAUCAUGGUUUAAACUAUUCAUAUAUAUAUUUUUUAAUUUAUUUAUUUUUAUUGAUCAUUCUUGGGUGUUUCUCACAGAGGGGGAUUUGGCAGGGUCAUAGGACAACAGUGGAGGGAGGGUCAGCAGAUAAACAAGUGAACAAAGGUCUCUGGCUUUCCUAUGCAGAGGACCCUGCGGCCCUCCGCAGUGCCCGUGUCCCUGGGUACUUGAGAUUAGGGAGUGGUGAUGACUCUUAACGAGCAUGCUGCCUUCAAGCAUCUGUUUAACAAAGCACAUCUUGCACCACCCUUAAUCCAUUUAACCCUGAGUGGACACAGCACAUGUUUCAGAGAGCACAGAGUUGGGGGUAAGGUCACCGAUCAACAGGAUCACAAGGCAGAAGAAUUUUUCCCAGUACAGAACAAAAUGAAGAGUCUCCCGUGUCUACCUCCCUCUACACAGACAUGGAAACCAUCCGAUCUCUCAAUCCCUUCCCCGCCUUUCCCCCGCUUCUAUUCCACAAAACCGCCAUUGUCAUCAUGGCCCAUUCCCAAUGAGCUGCCGGGUACACCUCCCAGACGGGGCGGUGGCCGGGCAGAGGGGCUCCUCACUUCCCAGCAGGGGCGGCCGGGCAGAGGCGCCCCUCAUCUCCCGGACCGGGCGGCUGGCCGGGCGGGGGGCUGACCCCCCCACCUCCCUCCCAGACGGGGUGGCUGGCCAGGCAGAGGGGCUCUUCACUUCCCAGUAGGGGCGGCCGGGCAGAGGCGCCCCUCACCUCCCAGAUGGGGCGGCUGGCCGGGCGGGGGGCUGACCCCCCCACCUCCCUCCCGGUCGGGGCGGUUGGCCUGGCGGGGGGCUGACGCCCCCACCUCCCUCCCGGACGGGGCGGCUGGCCGGGCAGAGGGGCUCCUCACUUCCCAGCAGGGGCGGCCGGGCAGAGGCGCCCCUCACCUCCCGGACGGGGCGGCUGGCCGGGCAGGGGGCUGACCCCCCCACCUCCCUCCCAGAUGGGGCGGCUGGCCGGGCAGAGGGGCUCCUCACUUCCCAGUAGGGGCAGCCGGGCAGAGGCGCCCCUCACCUCCCGGACGGGGUGGCUGGCCGGGCGGGGGGCUGACCCCCCCACCUCCCUCCCGGACGGGGCGACUGGCCGGGCGGGGGGCUGACUCCCCCGCCUCCCUCCCGGAUGGGGCGGCUGGCCAGGCGGGGGGCUGACCCCCCCACCUCCCUCCUGGACGGGGUGGCUGGCCGGGCGGGGGGCUGACCCCCCCCACCUCCUUCCCAGACGGGGCGGCUGGCUGGGCAGAGGGGCUCCUCACUUCCCAGUAGGGGCGGCCAGGCAGAGGCGCCCCUCACCUCCCAGACGGGGUGGCUGGCCGGGCAGGGGGCUGACCCCCCCCCCACCUCCCUCCCGGACGGGGUGGCUGGCCAGGCGGGGGGCUGACCCCCCCACCUCCCUCCCGGACGGGGCGGCUGGCCGGGCGGGGGGCUGACCCCCCCCACCUCCCUCCCAGACGGGGCGGCUGGCCUGGUGGGGGCUGACCCCCACCUCCCUCCUGGAUGGGGUGGCUGCCGGGCAGAGACGCUCCUCACUUCCCAGACGGGGUGGCUGCCGGACGGAGGGGCUCCUCACUUCUCAUAUGGGGUGGUUCCCAGGCGGAGGGUCUCCUCACUUCUCAGAUGGGGCGGCUGGGCAGAGACGCUCCUCACCUCCCAGACGGGGUCGCGGCCGGGUAGAGGCGCUCCUCACUUCCCAGACGGGGUGGGGGGGCAGAGGCGCUCCCCACAUCUCAGACGAUGGGCGGCUGGGCAGAGACGCUCCUCACUUCCUAGAUGGGAUGGUGGCCGGGAAGAGGCGCUCCUCACUUCCUAGAUGGCAUGGCGGCCGGGCAGAGACGCUCCUCACUUUCCAGACUGGGUAGCCAGGCAGAGGGGCUCCUCACGUCCCAGGUGAUGGGCGGCCAGGCAGAGACGCUCCUCACUUCCCGGACGGGGUGGCGGCCAGGCAGAGGCUGCAAUCUCGGCACUUUGGGAGGCCAAGGCAGGCGGCAUGCUUCGCCGGGUGGUCAGAGCUAUUCGCCCAUAGUCCGUAGCCCAGAGCCGGGGCUGCUUGGCUCUCUGUCCCGGGGGGCCGGGGCCGGGCUGGAGGCGUGCGAGCCUCUCAUCGCCGCCUCCCAGCGCAGCCGCUUGACUCUUUUUUUAUUUUUAUUUUUUUAGACAGUCUCACUCUGUCACUCAGGCUGGAGUGCAGUGGCAUGAUCUUGCCUCACCACAACCUCCGCUUCCCAGGUUCAAGCAAUUCUCCUGCCACAGCCUCUGAGUAGCUGGGACUACACAUGUGCGCCACCACACCUGGCUAAUUUUUGUAUUUUUAGUAAAGAUGGGGUUUCCCCAUGUUGGCCAGGCUGGUCUUGAGCUCCCAAUCUCAAGUGAUCUGUCCACACCCACUAUUCAUAUUUUAAAGAGUUGAUUUAUAUUGGUUGUUUUUACAAACAGAGCUGCAAACAACAGCGGUGUGCCAACAAUUUUUGUGUGUGUGUGUGGGGUUUUUGUUUUUGUUUUGAGACAGAGUCUCACUCUGUCGCCCAGGCUGGAGUGCAGUGGCAAGAUCUCGGCUCACUGCAACCUCUGCCUCCCAGGUUCAAGCAAUUCUCUUGCCUCAGCCUCCCAGGUAGCUGGGAUUAUAGGCGCCUGCCACCAUGCCCGGCUAAUUUUUGUAUUUUAGUAGAGAUGAGGUUUUCCCGUGUUGGCCAGGCUGGUCUCGAACUCCUGACCUCAAGCUAUCCACCUGCCUUGGCCUCCCAAAGUGCAGGGAUUACAGGGGUGAGCCACCGUGCUUGGCCCUCCUUUGUUUCCUUAGAUAGUGUUUCUUGAAAUAGAUUCCUAGAAAUAAGAUAGACUGAAGAGUAUGUAAAUUUUAAAUUUUUUUACAGACUGUGUCAUUGCUUUUUAAAAAUGCUGAUUACCAAAAUGUCACUUUUUGAUACUAAAAAAUAGAUUGUUUUAAACACACAAAGUAAGUAGGGCUUAUCAAAAAGUUAAUAUAUUUUGCAUUUCUCACAAGUGUGUUGAAAUUUCUCCCCCUUGCAUUGUACAGCAGGAAUCCUGACUCAGUCUAACUUUCUUAUACUUAAAAAAGUAUAUACUAAAACAUAGGCCAGGAGUUAGCAAACGUUUUCUAUAAAAGACCAGAUAGUAAAUAUUGUUCUUUGUGGGCUAUAUAAUCUCUGUUGCAACAAUGUGACUCCACCUUUGUCUUGGAAAGCUGGGAUAGAUAAUAUGUAAAAGAGUGGGAGUGGCUGUGUUUCAACAAAACUUUGUUUACAAAACAGGGGUCAUACUAGAUUUGUUCUGAGGACCAUAGUUUCUUAACCUCAGUCUAGGCAAUCCAUCAAGUAAUUCUGCAUUCACAAUAGAAGUCUUAUUGUAUAUAUUGGCUGACUGUCUUUCCUUUCUCUAAUGUUAACCACUGAUUUUGUGGAGCAUGGAUUCUAGGGAAAUAAUACCCAGGUAAGAUGUCUAUUACCAUGUGUGUCUUAUUUUUAAAAGAGUGGUUAAAUUCUUAUUGAGGCCGGGUGCAGUGGCUUAUGCCUGUAAUCCCAGCACUUUGAGAGGUCGAGGCAGGCAGCUCUCUCAAGUUCAGGAGUUCAAGACCAGCCUGGCCAACAUGGUGAAGCCCCGUCUCUACUAAAAAUACAAAAAUUAGCUGGGUGUGGUGGCAUGCACCUGUAAUCCCAGCUACUUGGGAGGCUGAGGCAGGAAGAUCACUGGAACCCGGGAGGCAGAAGUUACAGUGAGCCGGCAUGGCACCACUACACUCCAGCCUGGGCAACAGAGCAAGACUCCAUCUCAAAACAAGUCAAAACAAAACAAAACAAACACACAAACAAAAAACUGGGAGACCGAGGUGGUCAGAUCACAAAGUCAGAAGAGUGAGACCAGCCUGGCCAAUAUGGUGAAAACCCGUCUCUACUAAAAAUACAAAAAUUAGCGGGGUGUGGUGGCAGGCACCUGUUCUCCCAGCUACUUGGGAGGCUGAGGCAGAAGAAUUGCUUGAACCUGGGAGGCAGAGGUUGCAGUGAGCCAAGAUUAUGCCACUGCACUCCAGCCUGGGCGACAGAGCAAGACUCAGUCUCAAAAAAAAAAAAAAAAAAAAAAAAGUCUUAUUGACAAGUUCAGUAGUUUCUUGUCUUUAGUCUGCAUGUGUAUCACUUGGGGGUUUGGUAAAAAUCUAGAUUCCCGCAUCCAAACCCAGUUCUCUUGUGAGCAUUUUAAAUGACCAUCCCAGGUGGUUCUGGAAUGCUCAUAGGAUUGCAUAUUAGUUACACUAUUUAUUCGCUGCAUGGCCAUGGACAAGUUGUUUUAACUCUCUGAGCCAACAUUUCCUCUUCUAUUAAAUGGGAAUAUUAAUAAUACUUAGCCCUUGGAGACACUGUUAGAAUUUGAAGCACAAUGAAUAAUUUUUAAGAGAGCUUGACUCAUGAGAAAAAUAAGCUUAAAUGCAUGAAUAUAUAUAUCAAGCAUGAAUUUACCUAGUGCAUAUGCAUUAUACACUGGGUGCAUAAUAUUUUAUAAAAUAAUCCUUGUUUUAUAAAAUAGAGUUUCAUUAUUUGGGGAGAGGCAUUACUGUCAUUUCCUUUCUGCUGACUUCCCCUCUUCAGAGUUUUCUGCUCUUCCCCUCCCAUCCCACCACCUUGCUUUGUCACAAAACAAAGCCAAUAGGAUCACCAACAGUUUAAGACUGGUUUACUCAAAACGAAUUCAUUGUUUUACGUAGCUGAACACAGAAAUGAUAAAUAAUGUUCUGUAAGUAUUUGUUGGUUGACAGCUUUGGCACAAUGUCCUCUAGAAAAAGCUGAACGUAGCCACCCACCUUGUACGAGAGCCGCAAAGAAUAGCCACGUGCCUGAAUAUGUGUCAGCCGCUGUGUGACUGGAGGGGCUGAGGAAGGGGCGUAGAGGGUGUUGUGAGGUCCCUUCCGACAAGCAGUCAAGAACGCAUAGAAAUACAUUACAAAAAUUAAAUAGUCUAGAUAAGUUGAAAUGCAUGUUAAGAAGAGCCCCAGAGUGUGGUUGCUUGGGUAGGGGUAGGUUCAGGAAUUGAAGGGACGUCCCUAGGGCCUGGGUCCCUGCUUCCUAAUCUGCCACAAACCUAACAGUGUCUUGUUGCUUCCAGGUCACUCAGGGAUUCGACUCUGAGGUCAAUGAUGCACUUGGCACCAGAACUUGAUGGGGUUGGCACAGACCUGCCAGCCUCAGCCACUUUCAUUCUGGAAGCUGUUAAAAGAGACAGUUAUAAAAAUUGAGGAAUCAGCAAGAGAAUUCCUGGUUCCGUGCUGCCUUCUUCUCUCUGUCUUGGCAAGUGUAGGGCCUGUCCACUUGCUCAGGACUCUUUGUCCAACCUCAGCUCCCUAGACCUUUCAUCAGUGGCUCAGGGGAUCUCUUCAGGCAGCCUCUUCCGGCUAACACUUCCUCCUGUCUUCCCUCUGUCAGGGGCAGCUCUUCCGUCGUUCCUUGCAGACCCUAGGUCAGGCCAGAAAACACCUCUAUGGCCCUUCCCUGUGUCCCACCACCGGAUAGGACCUCAAAGGCCUGGGGUCCCCAGGAUGGCCCUCAAACCGACUGGUGCCCUUGCAGGCUGCCACCCUCCAAGUCCUGCUUCUCUCCAGAGAUGGGCAGGAGCACCAGCCCUCACCUGGCACCAGCAGUGAGUCUCAUAAUUGCCAUCUACCAUUUUGCUAGGGGGCUUCUGGGGAUCCUAGGAAAAGCAGCAGAUGCCUGGGUGCUUGGGGACCCAGGCAUUCUGAGGGAAGGAGCAGCGUGACCCUGAGUCAUUUUUCACUGGGGACAAAUGAGCCAACUCCUUCUACCCAGUGAUAAAAUCAGAAGGAAGCAGAUGGAGACAGCACUGUUCAGGGGAUGAUUUGGGGGUGAGAAGAACUGGCAGGAAGUUGGGGAUUUGGGGGUGAGAAGAACCAGCAGGAAGUUGGGGAUUUCUUGUUUCCCCACUUUUCCCUUCCAUUUCUGUUUGAGCCUUAGGUUUGGCCUCCAUCUCCCUCUGUAGAAAUUGCAGCUAAUUAAAUAUUCUGCCUCUUAUUCCAGCUUUACUGGGGGAACAUAAUAUGGUCUAAGAAGAGAUUUUUCCAGCAAGAGGCCAUCUCUGCAAAUCACCUGUGAGGCAGACCUGUGGCAAUUUUAUGACUCAGCUGGACACCGGGAUUGUAGCUGGGUUCUGCCCCUUAUUGAAACCUACUCAAUGUUCUCCUUCCCUAAGUAGGACAAGACCGUACCCUGCCUUUAAGGUUUAUAGAAUAGAAAGUGAAAACACUUUGGGGAAGAAAAUCUUCCUGAACUGAUAGCCCAGGGCAUUUUGAAAAUCCCUUAGGAAGUUCUCUGUUUCACUUGGGUACCUUUGUCCUUGGACUUUGGUGAUGUGGUUUGACCCCAGCUAGAGAGUGCAGGGAACAACAGCAAAAGGCAGGACAAAGACAGACUCGUGAGAGGAGGCCUAGGAACAGGGGGCCAUUGUGAAUGAGGAGGACGUGGGGGCCCAAGAAAGUGAGCAAAAGAGGACAGGGCUUGCGCACUCAGUCACCAGCCCCCUUCUGGGGUCCAAGCUGUGUCCCCUUCUCUAAAGAGGUAAGCCCUGAGUCAUGGGAAGAUGGAAACCGGGGCUGAUGAGACAGGAUGUUUUUUAAGCACCGUGGUAUCUUGUUGACUUGCACAUGCAAGGGGGUCUUGGGUAACCACAGGGCUCAGGGUAUUUGCAGGAACAGUUCAAGUGCUCACUUGUCUUGGGGCUGUUUAUGGGGAAGUGGUUUCCACAGUGAGAGGAGGUGAGAUAUUGUUGUCACCCUGGACCACACUUAGCUACUUCCUUCUCACUAAAGCUCUGUAGUCAUAUUUUCCCCUGGCAGAGCAGAAACUUCUAUGUUAUCCCACAGCUGUUCUAACGGUGUAGACUUGACUUAUGCAAUGAUGCCAGGAGUCCUGAGCAGCACAGCCCAACUUCAAUCACACACAGAUGGACAGAGCUGUAUUAGCAAAGCCUGAGCUACUGAGCGAUGAAGAGUACAGCCAGGCUUUCAGACAUCUGUUCAUUCAAGAGAGAUAUGCGCUAAGCAAAGGACCUAAAGAUGUGUUUAAUGUGGGUGCUAAUAUGCAUAAGGAACCUUGAAAUAAAUGUUCUUAGCCUUUGGCCAAGAGGGUCCAUGUCUAGGAAUCUAUUCUCUGUAGAAAUAAAUUCAAAUAUGGAAAAAAUGAACAAUGCAUAAGUGUAUUUGGUCCCCAGCAUAUUUAUAGCAACUUAAAAUUGGACCAAAUUUAAAUGCCUAUGAUAUGGAAAUUGCUGAGAAAAUUAUGGGCUCUUCCCUUAAUUGGCUAUUAGGCAGCCUUUACAAACAAUGCAAUGACAUGAGAAAUGCUUAUGUUAUGGUAAGCUUAAAAAACUCAAGAUGCAAAUCAGCUUAUUUUAAUCAGGAGCCACCUAGCAUUUGGGAUGUGGUCAGUCCCACAUAAUGUAUUUUUGUGGGUGCAGUUCCCAGGAAAGAGGAGGAAUAAAAACGGCAAGUAUGAAGUGUCUCCUUCACUUGCAGUCUCUUUGUCUACCCCUUUGUCCAUCCACUAUGAAAGGACUCCCUUCUGUUCCUUAAUAUGGACAAUUUCUAUUGAGGACUCAUUGUUCUAAGAAUUGUCUCAUCUCCUCCUGCAUCCUCAGUGCCCAAUCUUUGGCUUCUAUGAAGGAAGGUGGGUAGUGCUUAUGGCAGGGCCAGUUCUACCUUUCUUAGUAUGUUCUGGCGUGGGUAUGUAGCCCCAUUUUCUAGUGGUUACCUUGACAUCAUGAAGAGUUUAUGUCUCUUUUGCCCUAGGUUUGGGCAAUAGUCAUUCACUGUGCAACAGGAAAUACACGAGUCAGCAUCUUAUUAAAAAUAAAGUCACUCAGGAAAGUGGACGACUAAUAGUUUCUAAUCUAGAGAGCAUAGGAGAAGAAAUGUUUACCACACACAAAGUAUUAGUGCCUUUUAUAUCACGAAGACAAAAAUAACAGGAAAAAGACAAACACAUUAUAGUGAAAACUUGUUUUUCCUAACCAGCAUCUAUUCUGCAUGUUUCCUGAUGCCAGAAACUCACAUUUCCUCAGGAAAAUCUCCCUUCUGCACCAUUCUCAGGCUUUAAGUUUAUGUAAAAUUCAGUAAACCCAAAGAUUCAAGUUAUGUGCCUUGAUUAACUUAAGCAAAUCAAUGAAACCCAUCCCCAUAACCACAGCGACUGGUUAGGAAAUUCGGCUCCUAAGUCAGUCAAAUCCGAAAGGGCCUAGUGAUGUUUUUUCCAGUGGGAUCACAGACUCACUCUUCCUUGCAGAAAAUGAACAAAGGAUUCAUGUAACACUGGCAGGUACUGGCAGCCACCCAGGGCCUCUCACAGGAAAGGGAGAUCAGAAAGAGAAGCAAAGAGGACUCAUGAGAUACCAUAGGGCUGCUGCGUCCAGCCUUGCUUGGAGCUAGGGCCACCUCGAUGCCCUAUAGUCUUGGAGCCACAAGGUGCAUUUACUCAAAGCCUCUUUGAGUUUGGUUUGCUUGUUUGCUUUCUGCCUGGAAACUGCCAGCAUCCUGAGAGAUAUGAGAUCUGUAUCUGUGCAGAGACACAGGGUUUGUUAAAAGUCACAGGCCCUGACUGAAGUGUGGAACUGGCUGAAAUGAGAAAGUAAGAGGUAAUUUGGGGAGGACCUUGUGAAAUGGAAGGAGUUUUAAACCUUACAUGCAUCAGAAUUACCUGGAGCCUUGUGAAAACACAGGUUGCUGGGCCCUAGUCCAUUAAGAAAGGAAGUGGGGCUUAGAAUGUUCAUUUCUCCCAAGUUCCCAGGUGAUAUUCACCAUGCUGUCCUGUCUGGACACUACCUUUUGCCAUACCCAUUACAAGGUAUUGCACGUGCUGGUUGAACUAUGGUCUGUCUUAUUUUGGUGCUAAAAGCCUGUGCCAAAUACCAACGCUGCAGCAUUAAGGAAUAUGAUAGAAAAGAUUCUGAAUAUAGGCCAGGCGCAGUGGCUCACGCCUGUAAUCCCAGCACUUUGGGAGGCCGAGGCAGGCAGAUCACAAGGUCAGGAGAUCAAGACCAUCCUGGCUAACGUGGUGAAACCCCGUCUCUACUAAAAAUACAAAAAAUUAGCCGGGCGUAGUGGUGGGCACCUGUAGUCCCAGCUACUUGGGAGGCUGAGGCAGGAGAAUGGCGUGAACCUGGGAGGCGGAACUUGCACUGAGCUGAGAUCGCGCUACUGCACUCCACUCCAGCCUGGGUGACAGAGCAAGACUUCAUCUCAAAAAAAAAAAAAAAAGAAGAUUCUGAAUAUUGGAACUUAGUAGCUAUGUAUUACAUCAGUAAGGUCCUUUAAGAGUUUAGGCUGCUUUGAAAUGGGCUCAUCUGAAAUUGAAAAAGGAAGAAAUUGAACUUGCUAAAAAAGGCCCUUCCAACUUAUUGACUGAGAACCCAGUAAUCUGGAGACUUGAAGGGCUGUAAUGGCAGAAUCUUCUACUCUAAGAUAAAGUUAGCAUGAGCAGAGACAGGAAGAUGAGAGACCUAAUGAGGCCAAGGGUCAAAUAUUCAUCACCUCCACAUGGGCCAAGAUGCAGGCAGAGGUCUCUCACCAGGGACUUGGUGGUAGAGGUGACACUGGUAGUGAGGUCUGUGCUAGAAAGUGCACAUCCCUGGCUGGGCGCGGUGGCUCACACCUGUAAUCCCAGCACUUUGGGAGGCUGAGGCAGGUGGAUCACGAGGUCAUGAGUUCAAGACCAGCCUGGCCAACAUAGUGAAACCCUGUCUCUACUAAAAAUCCAAAAAUUUAGCCAGAUUUGGUGGCAGGCACCUGUAAUCUCAGCUACUUGGGAAGCUGAGGCAGGAGAAUCUCUUGAACCCAGGAGGCUGAGGUUGCAGUGAGCCAAGAUCACACCAUUGCACUCCAGCCCAGGAGACAGUACAAGACUCCAUCUCAAAAAAAAAAAAAGAAAAAAGAAAGUGCGUAUCACCAACCCCAUUUAAAAUGCAAAUUCGAGCUUUGUAACUGAAAACAUCUCUGCUUCUGGCUACCUGGCCCAUGGAAUUGAUCAGAAGCAAAUAGUAGCCUAUGGACAUUAGAAGGGAGUCACAUUGCCAAAGAAACCACAAGACUGGUUCCAAACAGUCGUUGAUUACACAAUACCUAAGGCAACCUCAGGCUAACUCACACAGACAGAAAGUCAGCAGCCUCCAGAAAGCAGAUCCUCCACAUUGCACAUCUCAGAUUGUCCGUGGAGGACAUUCCCCCAGGGAGGAGAGCUAGGGACUGCCAGAUCAGCUGAACUGCUUAAAAAUGCAAUUCUCAUUCUCCAGUUCCCUAACAGGAGUCUGUGUUUAACUUACUCUGUUUGUUCAUAACACUUGUAUUUAGGGAAUAUUGGGCAUGAUUAAACUUUGUUUAGCUUUGGGUUUCUGGACCUUGUGAAACAAUUCAGUGCAGGCAAAUAUUGUAUGCCCCUAUAUUUUUUUCCUGAAAGUCAAUAAAGAAGGAAUGAUGACACCUUCACUGCAUCUAUGGGGACAAAAGCUGCUCCUGUGUGUGUGUGUGUGUGUGUGUGUGUGUGUGUGUGUGUGUGUGAAAGAGAGAGAGACAGAGAGAGAACAGCCUUGUCAAAAGGAUGUGUUUGUUGCUGUACCCUCAUUAUACGAAAGCCAUCAUGGCAUCAAAAUGCUGUAAGCCAGGUUGAGCUCUAUCCUCUCUGCAUCAACUCAGAAUCCCUACCAGAAAGUGGUUGUGAUGGAUGGAAUAUCACCCAUCAAAGAACAGGGUAAGAUGAGACCAGAGAGGUAAGCUAUGCAAGCUAAUCAGAAAAUAACUCAAAGUUUUAAAAGUGCAGAAUAUAAAAAGGAAAAACCCUCAUUCCUAAAAAAAUUUUUUAAAAAGCCUCAUUUCCUCAAAGAAAUGACAGUUAGCUAUUUGAUGUGUGUCUUUCCAAAUAUUUGCCUAUGUAAAUAUAUGUGUGUAUAUGGCUUUUAAAAAUAAAAACAAAAUAAUAUCCUUUACAGACAGUUUUGUAGCAUAUGUAGAGAAUAUAUAUGCAUAUACUGAAUGUAAAUAGAUAUGCAUUUUACCUAGAAUAUUACGGACACUUUCCACAGUUAUAGAUGUGUGCUGCUUUUGUUUACUGACUGCAGAAUAUUCCAUUGAUGGACAUCUUAAUCCUCUACUGAUUAAUCCCCUACUGAUGACUGUUUGCAUUUCUUUGCUCUUUACCAACCAUACUUGAAAGAAUAUCCUCAUGUCUACAUAUUCUUAUCUUUUGGCAGUGUUUCUAUGAAGCAGAUUCCUAGAAAUGGGAUCAGGUCAAAUGGGAUGUAGGUCACAUAGUAUGUGCAUUUUAAUAUUUGCUAAGUAGUAGUGUUUAAUUAUGCUUUAAAGAGUUUGAGCCCUACAAUUCUAAACACGUUUGGACACAUAAAUUAGAUUAUUUUAAACAAAAUGAAAUAAGCAUAGCUCAUAAAAAUUAACACGUUUGGUUUUCACACAAAUAUUUUGAAUUUCCCUUUCUUCUGCAAAAAGGACCCUAGCUUAAUAUGCAUUUCUUGUACAUAUAAUGCAAGCAAUCCAUCUAUUAAAUAACUUACCUUUCAAACCUAUAGACAGCAUCCUGCUCCACACAGAAGCUGGUUGUCUUUUCAUUCUCUAACAUUAGCUAUUUAUUUUGUAGAGUGUAGAUUCUAGAGAAAUAAUGUAUAAUACACCUGUUGCCAUAUGCAGAUACUUACCACAUUUAGAAAAUAGUGGUGAAUUCUAUUGACAGUGGCUCUCAGUCAUUAACAUGCUAUGGAACACCUCAUGAGCUUGAUAAAAAUAUCAGUUCCCAGGUCUACACCUAAAGAUCCUGAUGUAAUUGGCUUAAAUAAUCACUGCUGAAACACUCUAUGUCAACUCAGAAUCCUGACCAGAAAGUGGUUGCAAUGGAUAAAAUAUCAUUCACUAAAGAAUAGGGUAAGAUUUGAGUAUAGGUGGGUCAUACUUUGGGAAAUAACUUGAUCAAUGGUUAACAGCAUAGUCUGUCGUUCAAUAAAAGUCCAGUUUUGGAACACAAUUGACCGUUUACAUGCUGUGUAACCUCAGCCAAGUUGUCUAACCUUUCUGAGCCCUGGGUUACUUUUCUGUCAAGUGGAGGUAUUAAUAGUACCUAACCUGUACUAUUGCAUUGGUAAGAUUAAAUGAACAAUGUGUAAAAAGCACUCAGUAGGAGUAAGCCUCAACAAUGUAAGUAAUUGCUAUUAAGAGCUUGAUUCAUCAUGAAUAUGCCCUACAGAAUACUCUGCUUAAUGGUGUCCAUUCGAGUAGUUAAUUCCCCUAGAGCGUGCAUAUUACGAUUUGAGUUAUAACAUAUUCGUAGUUUCAAUGUUCCAGAACUUUGUAAAGUGGAUAACUCUGUGGUAGCGCUCCCCAUCUCUCCCAAUUUCCCUCCAUUUCACCUCUUCCUAAUCUUUGCCUAUCAUUCCUCUUAACCAGUGAUUUUGAUUUGCCAGAAAAACAAAACCAAACUCAAUACUGGUUUACCUUUUAAAAGAGCAUCUUUAUUAUUUCCCCAGGCCGAUCACAGCCCUGAACAAAAGCAUCCGAUACACAUUUGUCAGUCUGGUGGCUUUGGUGCCAUGACUGCCUACACAGGCCGAUGACAGCCACUCGGUUGUCACCAGACACACUGGAGGGAAGGCAGAGGGGACAGGGGGAACUCUCAGAGCAAACAAUCACAAACACACUGUGAAAUCAAAAAUAAAUUAUAAAAACUAAAUAGUAUAAAUAAAUUAAAAUUUAAGUUAAGAAGAGUCCCACAGUGUGGCUGUUUGGUAACAACCAGUCCAUAGAAGAGGUAGCUGUGGAGGUCACAGGGAUGUUCCCAAGGCUCAGGCUCCUGCUCCUCCCCACUGGGCCCACCGAGGUCGCUGGGCCUUGAAGCUUCUGGACCCCUCAGGCACUUAGCUCCAGGUCACUGACGUAUUUCUGGACCCACUCCUCACUGGGGUCAGCACAGACCUGCCGGCCUCUCUUGGUUAGGAAGCUGUGGAGAAGGGAGGAAGAGUUAAGCACUGGGGAAUCCAGCAGGGGAAUCCUGGGCCCACCAUGGCCCCGACAUCCUGCUCUCUGUCCUGGGCAGCUCAAGGCCUGCUCCUCGUUGAGGGGCCCCCUGCCUAUCUCCGUCUAGAGAGCUGCUCUCAGUGACUCCAGGCAAGGGGGCCCUCAGAGUGUCCUGCUGCCUCCUUCUUCCUGUUCCUUUCCUCUGGCCUGGGCAGCCCUUCCUGACUCUCUAACACCCACCUCACUCCAGCCCCAAGUCAGGUCACACCUCAGUGCCCUGCGUCCUGUAUCCCCGAUAGGCUCCUGAAGGCUGGGCCUUUCCAGGAUGGCCUUCUGGCCUGUUUCUGCCCCCACCCUGACACUCCCUACCUCCCUAGAGGUGAGCAGGAAGACUGGCACUUACAUGACACCGGGCUUGGAGCACUGGCUGCUGGUCUCAAAGUAGUCCGCUAUGAAAUUCUGUGGAAUCUGUCGGGAGAUAUAGCUGAAGCAGCAGGCGGUCGGCGUGUCAGCAGCAACUGCAGAGAAAGGAGAGAAUAAGCACGAGUCACAGCUCAGAAGAAAAGGCCAGGCAGCUUCUGAUCCCUGAGUGGUUGAGGAGGGCAGGCUUGCUCAGACCAGGUGACUGGAAGGCAUUUGGGGGGUUUUGCAGAGAAAUGUCUCUUUGUUUCUGUCUAUAUUCUUCUUUCCCCUUGACUCUUCAUAGUGGGUUCUCUGUUUCUCUAUGUGAUCAAGAUACCUGAAUGGACUGUUUUCUUAGCUCUCUUCAGGGAAUUUUGUCGGUUCAAGAAGUCAUACCCCAGCCCAAGAGAAGCCCUGGACAUCUCUCAUAAGACAUCCAAGGGACAGGGCUCCUGGGAGACCUAGGGUGAGCUGGAGAGUGAACAACAGACCCCACUGGGAAGUAAGCAGCCCUGGAUUCUGCCUCUUGCAAACUGAUUCGUUUUGAACCCUGUUUUUCUAUCUGUACAAGGGACUGUAACUCCCCUGCCCCUGCCUAGAUUCUCAUACCUGGAGACUAGGAGGGCUAAGACCCCUUCUAGAGAUAAAAAUAAAAGUCGUGAAGAAAAAGACCAA